ensembl:lncRNA
GGCGUCCUGGAUGCGGCGGCGGCUCCUCAAGAAAUGAGGUGAUGCGGCGGCGGCGUCCUGGAGGCGGCGGCGGGCGUCCUGGAGGAGGCGGCGGUGGCGGGUGUCCUGGAGGCGGCGGCUCCUCGUACAGUAAAGUUAAACUCUUCUUCAGUGUAUCAUGAACGGGGAGGUUUUUCCGGUGUGCAAAUGGAAAGUGUUUCACCUUUUAGAAGAAAUGAGGUGACGCGCGGCGGCGGUCCCCCCUGAGGCGGC